rnacentral:lncRNA from 10 species
GCAGAAUGGCCUAAGAUAGCCUUCAAGAUCCAUAAUCCCCUCCCUUCGGUGUGGGUAGAAACUGUGAAUAUGAUGGGAUAGUUAUUUCCUUGAUUAGGGUGCACAAUAUGACAAAAGUGAUGGGAUAGUCACUCUGUGAUUAUCUUCUGUUACAGAUAUUGCUGUCGUUGUAAACUGGAGAGAGAUGCUCCUGUUGGCCUUGAACAACCAAGCUGCCAUGUUGUGAUUGGGACACAUGGCUAUCACCUGAGGGCAGGCCCUAGGAGCUAAGAGUGACCCCUGGCCAAGGAACCCUAUUCUUCUUACAACCUGAAUGAGUUUGCAGGAAGACUAAGAUCCACCUGAGAACACAGCCCCUGCUGACAUGGUGAUUUCAGCCUAGGCAGACUCUGAGCAAGAAACCCAGCAAGAAACACUAUGCUGACUUCUGACCUAGAGAACUGUGAGACUUCACAGAAGGAUAAAGAAGAACUGGGAUCACAUUAUGGUCAGAACUCUUUGUCAGGAGAAGGAAGGCUCAGCAUUCACUUAAAUUCAAGGCACUUGCUGGAGUUUGGGAGAGCAGCACCAUGGUAUUUGCCUUCAUAAGGAAGCAGGCAAAGGGGGUUCUCAAAGACAAAGAUCAUUAAUGCUUAUCUGUCCCUCAUGCACUCUGGGGUACAGGCAUUUCCUCCUCAGGCGCUACUGAGUUGUUUUUCUUCUUCCAUUGCCACAAAAUCAGUGUAUCCCAUUUCAGUAGCCAUAAGUUCACCUUUUUUUUUUUCCAGUUAUUCCCCACUGUACACAGAACUUUCGUCCAGAAGAGUCAGAUACAGGAAAGAUAAGGGUAUCUUUAGAAAAUUAACAAGAAUUAAGUUUUAUUGCCCUAGGCCCCUUUGGUAGAAUGGUGUCCUCCCAAAGAUGCUAAUCCCCAGAAAUCUCCAGAACCUGCAAAUAUGGUAACUUAUAUAGCAAAAGAGGUUUUGCAGAUAAGAUUAAGUUAAGGAUCCUGAGACAGGAAUAUUAUACUCAGUUACCUGGGCAGCCACAAUGUGACCACAGGAUCUUUAUACGAGGAAGUAGGAGGAUCAAAGUCAGAGGGUAUUCAAUCUGAUGCCAGAAGUGGAGAGAUUUGCAGAUGUAUUAGCCGGUUUUCAUACUGCUGAUAAAGACAUACUCAAGACUGGGAAAUUUACAAAAGACAGAGGUUUAAUUGGACUUACAGUUCCAUAUGGCUGGGGAAGGCUCACAAUCAUGACAGAAGGCAAGGAGGAGCAAGUCACGCCUUACAUGGAUGACAGCAAGCAAAGAGAGCUUGUGUAGGAACCCCCCCCGCCCUUAUAAUAACCAUCAGAUCCCAUGAGACUUACUCACUAUCUCAAGAACAGCACAGGAAAGCCCUGCCCCCAUGAUUCAAUUACCUCCCACCAGGUCCCUCCCACAACACUUGGGAAUUCAAGAUGAGAUUUGGAUGGGAACACAGCCAAACCAUAUCAGCAGGUAUUACAUUACUGGCUUUGAAGAUGAAGGAAAGGGCCACUAGCCAAAGAGUGCAUGUGGCCUCUAGAAGCUGGAAAAUUCCAGAAAAUGAUUCUUGCCUAGAACCUCCAAAAGGAAUAAAUUCAAGUAACACCUCAGUUUUAGCCCGGUAUAACACAAUUUCAUACCUCCAGAAGUGUAAAAUAAUAAACUUGUGUUGU